GUGCUCACUUCCAGCAGCACAUAUACUAAAAUUGGAAUGAUAGAGAUUAGCAUGGCCCCCAUGCAAGGAUGAUGUGCAAAUUUGUAAAGUGCUCCAUAUUUUU
rnacentral:snRNA from 1 species